rnacentral:rRNA from 1 species
GACGGAGGGGGCUAGCGUUGUUCGGAAUUACUGGGCGUAAAGGGCGCGUAGGCGGCCGAUCAAGUUAGGCGUGAAAUCCCUGGGCUUAACCCAGGAACUGCGUUUAAUACUGAUUGGCUAGAGAUUGGUAGAGGAAAGUGGAAUUCCUAGUGUAGAGGUGAAAUUCGUAGAUAUUAGGAAGAACACCAGAGGCGAAGGCGACUUUCUGGGCCAAUACUGACGCUGAGGCGCGAAAGCGUGGGGAGCAAAC